GCCGGGUUGGUCUAAUCGGUUAAGGCGUCGACCCUGGGAGGCGAAGGUUGCGGAUUCAAUCCCCGCUCCUGGCC
rnacentral:tRNA from 1 species